UGGAAACUAAAGGAGGGCUCUGGAUAGUCAUUCUAGUGAGAAGAUGAGGACAUCUGUAGGGGGAUCACAGUGUUCUCUCAGAGUCCUCCCUUUACACUGGGGAUAUUGCCCAUUCUCUCCCCAGCCCCAGCUGUGGAAGAGCUAAUGCCCUGGGCAGCUGUUCCAGGGAAGCAGUCUUUUGUGGGCACACCUCUCCUGCCUGUCAGGUGGAGAGUCCAAGGGCAUACAGGCAGGGAGGGGUCAACACACAGAUUGGCAUCCAGAGUGCCUGAGGGCCUGGGGACUGUUUGGAGCAGGGAAGUCUAGAAGUGAGGGGUAAUUAUGGGUGUUAUUUUCAGCAGCCAGGUAAAUGAGUGGUGUUCUUUGGUUGGUUGUUAUCGUGGGCACUGAAGUCAUAGACUUGGUCUGUGUCCCUGCCUGACCGCUGUAUUCCUGAUGCUAUGGGGAGUCUGGGCCUCUGGACGCCCCACCCACUCCUUUGCUGAGAUGAGCAGCUGGGUUCUCUUGGCUCUGAGUAGCUGGGCUGGCACACGACGUGCAUCCCCCAACCUUGUUUGGCAGGUCUCGGGAUUUGUGUUUUGUGGCUGCAGAAAACAGGGGUGUUUGCAACUCAGUGUGAACCUAUUUCAGCACAUCCAGGACCUAGGUAGAAAGGCUCCUGCUCCAUACCUUCCCAACUUCAGCCUUUUUAGGAACACCUGCAUGCCUUUCAGUCCUUGAUGAAGCAGAGCCUGGAAGACUCCUGAAGACAAGCAGGCCACUGUGUGGAUCAUGUGGGCCGUGGGGACUGUGGACCUGAGGUGGCACCUGUUCUAACCUAGGCAAGGGAUCCGAGGAGUGCAAACAUCACUCCACCCAACAAUUACCAGUCUUUCCUUCAAGUUUUUUUUUUAAUUCAGUCACCCAAGGCUGGGGCCAACUAUGGGUCUCAGUGAAAUAUCAGUAAACCAGUGCAUCCAGGGUUCCUGAGGUCUGGUGGUGGUCCUAGAAGCGGCAAGAUGUAAAAGGAAAAGAAGUGCUUGAUAAUUACAGACACAGAAAUGGAUGGUGAAAGCAGCCCUCCUCUUCUCUUGCAUGUUUUUGCUGGUUUCAGUAAUUCACAAGCAUUUUCCUGUCUCUUGCCUGGUCCUCAUACGCUGGAAGGACAAAGUACUCAAAGCCACAUUUCUGACUGUACUGAUUACAUAUAAACUGCUGGUGUCAUGGGCUAUGAUUAUGCUCAAUCUGUUUUUCUCAAUUUUUUUUUUAUGCCAGCAUAUUGGAAAGAUAAUACUCUCAUCCUGGUGUGUUUUGAGAGUAGUUCUAGCAGUUAAAUUAUUAUGACAAAUACCAUCACCUAACCCCUUUCUUUAAACAGAGAAUAUUGUUUAAUGUUCUCCAGAAUGUAUGGGAAUUUUUCAUGAUUAAAAUGAACUUAUGGUCUUUGUAUGACAAAAAUCUCAGUGGCUAGAACAUAAAAGAUGCAAAGAGUGUAUUUGUUAAAUGGCAACCUUGAAUUGUUUUGACAGUCAUUGCUGGUAAAGCCUUGUACAGUGCAUUAUUUCAUUCAGUCAUGCAACAAAUAUUAGUUGGGAAUAGCCUUUUCCCACAUUCUUUGCUUGGUACUAGGUAGGAUCAAAAGGAAGCAGAGAUGUUGUCUCAGUUCAGGUAGGGUCACUGAAGCUGGAAGCUUCGUGUUCCAGUUGGCGAGCAGGGUUAGAAAGGCAGGGCUUUGAUUAGUGGGACAAACCACAAACUAGCUUGGGACUAAUCUGAAGAAAAUAAAAUAUCCUAUGCCAAUACAGCUGAUAUUGUGCCAACAUAUUUAUGUCCAUAAAUUGAUUGCACAGUAGCAUAACAAGGGA
rnacentral:lncRNA from 1 species